rnacentral:rRNA from 1 species
UACGAAGGGGGCUAGCGUUGCUCGGAAUCACUGGGCGUAAAGCGCACGUAGGCGGACUCUUAAGUCGGUGGUGAAAUCCUGGAGCUCAACUCCAGAACUGCCUUCGAUACUGAGAGUCUCGAGUCCGGGAGAGGUGAGUGGGAACUGCGAGUGUAGAGGUGAAAUUCGUAGAUAUUCGCAAGAACACCAGUGGCGAAGGCGGCUCACUGGCC